CUGAAAACGUAUAGCAACAUAGUUCAUUCCAUUUCUUAAAUUUCCUCACUUUGGAUGCAUUUCAUUUUCAAUUAGGCAAAUUAAGAAAAGGCAAAGCCUAAGUAGAGAAAAAAAAAAGGGUUCGGCCAUGGCUGCUUUCGGCCAUGGCAGUCCAAUAUAUAUAAAACAAAAAGUGGUUUUUGCUUGCUUAGAUUAGUUCCAAGGUGAUUUUCAAGUUCAAGGAGUUGAUAGCAACAUUGGAUAUUCAAUCGAGGAAGGAGAAAUUGCGAAAUUGGAGCAAUUAAAAGUAGAAAUUCCUCCGAGAAAAUUGUUGCUAAAAGAGCGGCGAGACGAACGGUUUUGCGAUUAGUCAUCAACAGGUACAGACGCUCGUUUUGGUGAUCCGCCAGCUUAGGAUAUAUAUUCAGCUAUCUUGGAGUGCUCCCUUGUUCCGGAGCCUAGCUUUGUGGUACAGAUUCUCCUGUUGUAUAUAUAUGUCUACCCAAGGGUACGACGGGGCCCUGUCCCGUCAUAUGAUAUUGUUGUUACUCUUAAAGGUCUGUAGACAUAUGUGUGGGUCUGUAUAUAGUUGUUGUUUAGUUGUGUGGAUAUGCCUUAUGUUUUGGGGUGUACCCAUUCGUAGUGGCAGCCUUGUUGGCUUGCGUAGAUAUAUAUAUAUACAUAUGUGUUUUGGAAGCCGUGUGUUAUGGUAGCCUUGUUGGCUCGUGUUUGGCCAGCUUAUGUGCGAUAUUAUCUGUUGAAAGUUGUAACUCCUCAGGA